rnacentral:rRNA from 1 species
CCUACGGGUGGCUGCAGUGGGGAAUAUUGGACAAUGGGCGAAAGCCUGAUCCAGCCAUGCCGCGUGUGUGAAGAAGGCCUUCGGGUUGUAAAGCACUUUCAGUGGGGAAGAAAGCCUUGGGGCUAAUACCCUCGAGGAAGGACAUCACCCACAGAAGAAGCACCGGCUAACUCCGUGCCAGCAGCCGCGGUAAUACGGAGGGUGCGAGCGUUAAUCGGUAUUACUGGGCGUAAAGCGCGCGUAGGCGGUCUGAUAAGCCGGUUGUGAAAGCCCCGGGCUCAACCUGGGAACGGCAUCCGGAACUGUCAGGCUAGAGUGCAGGAGAGGAAGGUAGAAUUCCCGGUGUAGCGGUGAAAUGCGUAGAGAUCGGGAGGAAUACCAGUGGCGAAGGCGGCCUUCUGGACCGACACUGACGCUGAGGUGCGAAAGCGUGGGUAGCAAACAGGAUUAGAUACCCGGGUAGUC